rnacentral:rRNA from 1 species
GACGAACGCUGGCGGCGUGCUUAACACAUGCAAGUCGAACGGAAAGGCCCUUCGGGGUACUCGAGUGGCGAACGGGUGAGUAACACGUGGGUGAUCUGCCCUGCACUUUGGGAUAAGCCUGGGAAACUGGGUCUAAUACCGAAUAUGAUCAUCGGCUUCAUUGUCGGUGGUGGAAAGCUUUUGCGGUGUGGGAUGGGCCCGCGGCCUAUCAGCUUGUUGGUGGGGUAAUGGCCUACCAAGGCGACGACGGGUAGCCGGCCUGAGAGGGUGACCGGCCACACUGGGACUGAGAUACGGCCCAGAGUCCUACGGGAGGCAGCAGUGGGGAAUAUUGCACAAUGGGCGCAAGCCUGAUGAAGCGACGCAGCGUGAGGGAUGACGGCCUUCGGGUUGUAAACCUCUUUCAGCACAGACGACGCGCAAGUGACGGUAUGUGCAGAAGAAGGACCGGCCAACUACGUG